rnacentral:rRNA from 1 species
UACGGGGGGGGCAAGCGUUGUUCGGAAUUACUGGGCGUAAAGGGCUCGUAGGUGGCCAACUAAGUCAGACGUGAAAUCCCUCGGCUUAACCGGGGAACUGCGUCUGAUACUGGAUGGCUAGAGAUUGGGAGAGGGAUGCGGAAUUCCAGGUGUAGCGGUGAAAUGCGUAGAUAUCUGGAGGAACACCGGUGGCGAAGGCGGCUUCCUGGACCGACACUGACGCUGAGGCGCGAAAGCCAGGGGAGCAAACGGG